rnacentral:lncRNA from 1 species
ACGCACAGGGUCUCUCUCUGAACUGCUGGUGGCAGCUGUCAGUGUUUUGGGGAAUAUUCCAUUGUUCUGAAUGUAUAGAAAGCGCAGAGAAACCCAUGCCAGCAACCGCGGCGGAGCAGCCGGGGCACUGCCGGCAGCUGGAGGGUUCUCACUGGGAACAGUUUCUUCCACGGGUUUGGGGAUGCCCUUUGAUACUCGGCAGGAGUCUGUUUUGGCAGCUAUACGUUGCCUAAGGGAGAGAUCUUUGAGAGGUGAUUUUUUAAGAUACCAAUGGUAUGUGCUGGAUACCUGGCUCUGUACUUCUGUCGAGGGACUUGCAGGGGGAGGGGGGAAUAAAAUACUGGGAAAGAGAAAUGCAGAAAUUUGGGAAAGUGCAAGCAGAUCUCCAGCGAACUCUGGCAGAGGCUGUUCCAGCAAGCUGCGAGUUUUCUGCUUUGAGACACUGAUGGGUUUUACUAUUUGAAUUGUGUCAAGAAUAAAUUGGGUUCCUG